GAGUUUGAUCCUGGCUCAGGAUGAACGCUGGCGGCGUGCUUAACACAUGCAAGUCGAACGAACGACUAUUAACAGAACCUUUCGGGGCGAAGAUGAUAGAAGUUAGUGGCGGACGGGUGCGUAACGCGUGGGUAAUCUGCCUUUGUCAAAGGAAUAACUAUUCGAAAGAAUAGCUAAAACCGUAUAACAUAUUAAUAGGGCAUCCUAAUAAUAUCAAAACGAUAGUGGACAAAGAUGAGCCCGCGUCUGAUUAGCUAGUUGGUGAGAUAAAAGCCCACCAAGGCAACGAUCAGUAGCCGACCUGAGAGGGUGAACGGCCACAUUGGAACUGAGACACGGUCCAAACUCCUACGGGAGGCAGCAGUGGGGAAUAUUGCACAAUGGGGGGAACCCUGAUGCAGCAACGCCGCGUGAGUGAAGAAGGCAUUCGUGUCGUAAAACUCUGUAGU
rnacentral:rRNA from 1 species